UUAAACCCCACUCCCAAAACACAAAAUUUGUAUACACAGGAGGGGGGAAAAAGAAAAAAAGGAGCGGCGUUCCUGACCGCACGACUCUCAAAGAUCCAUACUCUCCAUCGCCAAAGCGUCGAGAGUCGUGCCGGUGGGGAAAGAGGGGCGGUGACUCGAGGGUGACGAGAAACCGAAAUAUCUCGUCUUCUUCUCACCUGGCCUCCGCUCUGCUCACCGCCCGCAAGUCCUCCCUCUUCCCCUGGUGGCGGCCGUCGCCGCUGCCUCUUAUCGGCAGGCGAUCGGAGCCCGUCACGCUCCGUCCACCGUCUGAUUUGCGUUCCGGGUACCGAUGCGGCCUCUUGAAGCGGUCCCUCCUUUUCUAGCAGUAAGCAACAAUUUUCAGCACAGAAAAAAGAGUUCCUGAAAAAGGUUGAACAAGGAAGAAAAGUACAGCACAUGCAACUGAAGUCCUUGAAACAAUCCCCUUUUACAUAGUUUUUUCUUCAAUUACAACCUGAACUCAUAUGCUUUUUCAGUUGGUCGACUGCCUUUUCACCUUUUAACUGCUUUACUGAUUUACUAGUCUUCUUCAACCAGUGCUAUCUCAUCUGUAAUUAUGUACCUCCAUGCUCUUCUGCAGUGAUAUUUUGCAGUUAUAUGAACAGAUCAUCUGCAAGUAAAGCACUCAUCUGGUGUCUCAAUCUCUUGGAUACAGACGCAGUUUUACUAAGAUUUCAUGUUCUUAUUCGGAUUCUCAUUGUGGAUUCAGAACAGCCACCUGUGAGCAACCUAGGAAUCUUGAACAGUUGUUCUUAUUGUUCCUUUUUUCCGGUGCUUUUACUAUUUGACAUGAGAAGUGCAAGGCUUCAAUAGAACUUGUCCAACAUGUUAACAGCAAGGAGCUGAGCCAUAGAAAGCUCCAAACAGAAGCCUCAAGUCCUGGCUGACUCAGUACAAACAAUCAGUGGGCUAGUUCACUUCGCUGAAUGCAUGAAUCUCAUAUACUCCUCAGCAAACCUCUUGAUUUGGAUGCAACCAUAAAUUUGUUAUCUGGACAUUGGCAUUGUUAGAGCGGGAAAGUGACUGCGUCCCGACCAGAGGUAUUGUUCCAUCCGCCCCCCAACAGGCAUCAAUGACAUCCAUGACUUAGCUCUUCAUUGUGGAUCAUGACCCAUUUGUGUCAUGAGGUGUAACUGGCUCCAUCUGCUAGGCGUAUUUUUUUCACAGACAAAGCUGUCAAUAGGUUUCCUUUUGAUAUCAUGGGCCACCUGUUGCUUGACCUUACUUUCCCCCCUUUUCUUCUUCCUUUUUUUUUUUUAUAUUUAUGAUAUAGCCUUCAUGGACCAUUCACAAAAGCCAAAAUAACAACUGUCUUCUGAGGCAAUUAUGGUCCUUUUCUGGCCCUGAUGGAGAUUGGAAUUUGGAGGGUGUUUCUUUAAUUUAUGUGAGGCUCAGCUUUCAUUUGUUGGUGAUGAAUGAUGAUAGGCACUUGGGCUUGCAUUCA